rnacentral:rRNA from 1 species
UACGUAGGGUGCGAGCGUUGUCCGGAAUUAUUGGGCGUAAAGGGCUCGUAGGCGGUUUGUCGCGUCGGGAGUGAAAACACUGGGCUUAACCGAGUGCUUGCUUUCGAUACGGGCAGACUAGAGGUAUGCAGGGGAGAACGGAAUUCCUGGUGUAGCGGUGAAAUGCGCAGAUAUCAGGGGGAACACCGGUGGCGAAGGCGGUUCUCUGGGCAUUACCUGACGCUGAGGAGCGAAAGUGUGGGGAGCGAACAGG